GAUGAACGCUGGCGGCGUGCCUAAUACAUGCAAGUCGAGCGAACGGACGAGAAGCUUGCUUUUCUGAUGUUAGCGGCGGACGGGUGAGUAACACGUGGAUAACCUACCUAUAAGACUGGGAUAACUUCGGGAAACCGGAGCUAAUACCGGAUAAUAUUUUGAACCGCAUGGUUCAAAAGUGAAAGACGGUCUUGCUGUCACUUAUAGAUGGAUCCGCGCUGCAUUAGCUAGUUGGUAAGGUAACGGCUUACCAAGGCAACGAUGCAUAGCCGACCUGAGAGGGUGAUCGGCCACACUGGAACUGAGACACGGUCCAGACUCCUACGGGAGGCAGCAGUAGGGAAUCUGCCGCAAUGGGCGAAAGCCUGACGGAGCAACGCCGCGGGAGUGAUGAAGGUCUUCGGAUCGUAAAACUCUGUUAUUGGGGAAGAACAUAUGUGUAAGUAACUGUGCACAUCUGGACGGUACCUAAUCAGAAAGCCACGGCUAACUACGU
rnacentral:rRNA from 1 species